GACAGGUAGCAGACAGACAGGUGAGCAGACAGACAGGUAGCAGACAGACAGGUAGCAGACAGGUAGCAGACAGACAGACAGGUAGCAGACAGACAGGUGGCAGACAGACAGGUAGCAGACAGACAGACAGGUGGCAGACAGACAGGUAGCAGACAGACAGACAGGUAGCAGGCAGACAGUCAGACAGACAGGUAGCAGACAGGUAGCAGACAGACAGGUGGCAGACAGACAGGUAGCAGACAGGUAGCAGACAGACAGGUAGCAGACAGACA